UACAGAGGGUGCGAGCGUUAAUCGGAAUUACUGGGCGUAAAGCGCACGUAGGCGGCUUGGUAUGUCGGGUGUGAAAUCCCCGGGCUCAACCUGGGAACUGCAUCCGAAACUGCCUUGCUAGAGUAUGGGAGAGGGAAGUGGAAUUUCCGGUGUAGCGGUGAAAUGCGUAGAUAUCGGAAGGAACAUCAGUGGCGAAGGCGGGUUGCUGGGCUGACACUGACGCUGAUGCGCGAAAGCCAGGGGAGCAAACGGG
rnacentral:rRNA from 1 species